UUUAUAGCUUACGGCACUGUCGUUGAGCUUCGUAUAAACAGUGGUGGAAAGCUUCCGAACUUUGGUUUUGUUGUCUUUGAUGAUGCGGAGCCUGUUCAGAAAAUCCUGAGCAGUCGGCCCAUUAUGUUCCGUUCAGAUGUGCGUUUGAACGUAGAAGAGAAGAAAACCCGUGCUGCUCGAGAGGGUGACCGUCGCGGUGACAGGCCCCGUGGCCCUGGAGGCCCACGUGGAGGUCUGGGAGGGGGUCUGAGAGGACCGCCACGUGGUGCAAUGUCACAGAAGCCUGGUUUUGGGGCUGGAAGAGGCGUUCAAGGUCCACGCCAGUGAUCUUUUUUUUGUUUUUUUUCGUGUGUGUUUUUGAGUGGCAUCUAACAUCAAAAGGCAAAUCGCCCUCUUCUGUCCUGCAGCCUUCUGAAACUUGGGGUCUUGGAUGUCUUAGCAUAUUGUCCCAACGUGAUGGACUGCUACACUUCACCAAUCCCAUCCCAACCCUUUUGUUUGUGUUGCGAUUUUACGGAUUUUUUUUUUUUUCCUUCUCGAUCCUCUUCCCAGAAUCCAGCAUUUGUUGGACAAUGUCUUUUAGGGGGGAAAAGGAUUUAAAUCAUGCAAAAAACAAACAAAAACCAUGUUUUCAGCAGUCAAACGCAAUGGAACAUUUCCUGAAUUUAGGCAAAUCCAGAAGUAUGAUUGGGAUUGCUGGUAUAGGCUCUUUCUGACUUCUCGAAUCUGUUUUGGCACUCUACUCAAAGCCCUAUUUGGGGAAAAGGCUAGUUUUUGGCACAGUAUUCUGGUCUUGGUAGUAUGUAUCCAUUGAAGCUGUGAGUAGUGAUGAAGACACAGGUGGCUUAGAGCAGCCACUUACAAUCUCCAUCUGUGCUGAUUUUACUGCAAAAAAUAA